GUAGGUGGCAAGCGUUGUCCGGAAUUAUUGGGCGUAAAGCGCGCGCAGGCGGUUCUUUAAGUCUGAUGUGAAAGCCCACGGGCUCAACCGUGGAGGGUCAUUGGAAACUGGAGAACUUGAGUACAGAAGAGGAAAGCGGAAUUCCACGUGUAGCGGUGAAUGCGUAGAGAUGUGGAGGAACACCAGUGGCGAAGGCGGCUUUCUGGUCUGUAACUGACGCUGAGGCGCGAAAGCGUGGGGAGCAAACAGGAUUAGAUACCCUGGUAGUCCACGCCGUAAACGAUGAGUGCUAAGUGUUAGGGGGUUUCCGCCCCUUAGUGCUGCAGCUAACGCAUUAAGCACUCCGCCUGGGGAGUACGGCCGCAAGGCUG
rnacentral:rRNA from 1 species